GGAUUAGAUACCCUGGUAGUCCACGCCCUAAACGAUGUCUACUUGCUGUUGGGGGUAACCUUAGUAGCGAAGCUAACGCGAGAAGUAGACCGCCUGGGGAGUACGGUCGCAAGAUUAAAACUCAAAGGAAUUGACGGGGACCCGCACAAGCGGUGGAUGAUGUGGAUUAAUUCGAUGCAACGCGAAAAACCUUACCUGCUCUUGACAUGUACGGAAGACUUCAGAGAUGAGGUUGUGCCUUCGGGAACCGUAACACAGGUGCUGCAUGGCUGUCGUCAGCUCGUGCC
rnacentral:rRNA from 1 species